UAAGAAAUGCCGACCACUGGCUUAGAUCAAUUAUGGGUUAUAAUACUCUAAAAGUUAUUAGAUAAACGCAGUGUUAAGACCAAAGUAAAGAAUAAACAUAAAAUUAGAUUUAAAAACAACUUUCUAAAAUAAAUAUUCUAACAAACUCCAAAAAGGGUAAAGUAAAAAAAAAUGUUAAUUGCUUAUUAGACUUACGACUACUUCAAUGUACUUCGGUUCGCGAUUGAGCUUGAUCGGUUCGGUUCGCGAUUGAAAUUGAUCAGCUCGGUUCGCGUGUGUGUAAAGUUGUGAAUGCAAAAGGCAAGUGCUGCUCAGUGCUGUUAGUUUUAUAAAAGUGUAGUGUUCAUUGAAAGAGUGAGAAAAUAGUGAAGUCAAUUAUUUUAUAAAAAAGUUCAUGUCAAUAAUAAAAAUGUGUCGUAUUUUAAAAAUAAAAAUAAAGUGGUAAAGGCAAAUAAUGCAAAUUGAAAUAAUAAAUGUGUAUGUUUUCAAAAAUAAAAGAGGCAUAGCCCAAAUUGUGUUCGAUUCGUUUCGUAUAAUAAUCGUUAUACCGUUCGUACUCGUUCUAUAAACAAUUACAGCAUCGCAAAUACACCAUGAAGAAGGCUUCAACUUCAAAGAAAUCGCUUAACGCCUUCUCCACUCAAACACCAGCCUAAGUCUGCUAAGCUCAACUUUUCUGCAGCUACGGCUUGCUCGCAAAUGGAACAACCAUUCAGCACUUAACCAUCACGCUCCUGCUCCUUACUGCCGGCAGCUGCUAUUAUUGCAGAAACGCUAACAUAACUACCGCUCUCAACAUAAGAAGAGAAAGAGGCACCACACGCACUUAAAGAGACAAUCCAGAAAAUGUACACAUGUAUGUAUGUAAAUAUCCACACAAAUACAUGCGAAAGCGACUAAAAAUAGUUGGGAGAAUACAAGUAUAUUAAACUACACUCUUUGCUCUUUGUUUUAUACAGAGUAAGUAGUGCUCUUUAGUUUGCAAUAUGCGCUGGGCGCUCUUCGCUCUAUGCUGCUUUGCUGGAGCUGCUGCGCAACUGAAUAAGUUGUAUGCGUUUGUAGUAGAAUUGCCAGCGUAAAUUAAUUGCUCUAAAAAGAAUUUAAGUAAAUAAGCAACAUAAAUCGGAAGGAGAGUGUAUGGGAAACGGAAAUGAACUGCAUAAGCGAACUUCAAUACACAAAGGGGAACGGAAAUGAAUUUUAUAAAAGGUUUACAAUUAAAAAAGGGGUAAUUGGAGGUGAAAAGUUGAGAGUAAUAAGCGCAAUUAGCUUAUAUUUGUAAGCAUUUCCAAUAAAAUAAUUAGUCGAUGAGAAUAACUCGGCAGUGCUGGUGACUAACUACAUUAAUUGCUAAACAAUAUUGAGCAGACAUAAACUUUUUUAGAAAUUUUAGCAAAAGUGAUUAAAUUUCAUUGAGUGAACCGCUUUUUGUAAAAAAUAGAAGUGAUAAUUGUAGAAAAACUUAAAAUUGUGUAAUUAACUGGAAAAUAAAAACGGAAAUGGGUAUAGAGAAAUGAGAGUCGGUUUGUGUCGUUUCCGUUCGGCUUAAAAUGUGUCGUAAUUUUUUGCGCAGCGAACGCUAGACAUAUGUAUGUAUGUGAGAGCGCAGAGCAUAACUGCAAAAACGGAAAUAGUUGAUUGGGUGUAAAUAAAUAAAAAACCGAAGUAAUUGAGAAAUCAAAGUUAACUAUAUGUGAGCAUAUAAACGAAUGUAUAUAUAUUUCUAAAAGAGCGCAAGCGAAAAACAUACUCUACAGCUAUCAACUAUGGUUUCUAAUGCUUUAUAAAAGAUUUUUAAACGCAAUGUUAAGAAAAAAGUCAAAAAUAAACGUAAAAAGUAAUAUGGUAUAUAAAAAAUCCUAACAAACUCCAAAACUUUCAGUAAAAUGUAAAAGAAAAACUUUUAAAAUGCUUAUUAGUGUUAGGACUACUUAAAUUAAGUGCGGUGCGCGAUUAUCGGUUCGGUUCGCGGGUAAGAUCGAUCGGCUCGGUUCGUGUGUGUGUAAGCUGUUUAUGCAACCAGCAAGUGCUGCCCAGUGUUGUCAGUUUUAUAAAAGUGUAGUGUUCAUAGAAAAAGUUAGAAAGUAGUGAAAUCAAUUAUUUCAUAAAAAAGUUCAAGUCAAUAUAAAAAUGUGUCGCCUUUUAAAAAAAUAUAAGUGAAAAAUAUAAAGUAGUGAUAUCAAUUAUUUUAUUAAAAAAAAGGCCAAGUGUAUAUAAAUAUGUGCCGUCUUUUAAAAAUAAAAAUAAAGUGGUAAAGGCAAGAAAUGCAAGUUGAAAUAGUAAAUGUGUGUGUUUUCAAACAUAAAAGAGGCAGAGAAAAGUGAGAGCCCAAAUUGUGUUCGAUUCGUUUCGUAUAAUAAUCGUUAUGUCGUUCGUUCUCGUUUAAUAAAAAAUUACAAUAUCGUAAAAAACUCAUGGAGCUGCUGGAAAAGGCUUCAACUUCAAAUAAUCCUUUAACGGUGAGUCAUUUUUCAUAUCUAUCACAUACAUGUGUAUCUAUAUUUAAUAUAUUUAUAUAUUUCACCAAAUAUAUACAUUAAAAUUAAAUCUGACAACUUUUUUAAAAAACUAUUUUAGAGAAAACUAAAGCGUCAUCUUCAGUAAAGUCUUCCAACUCUUUGACAUUGCGUUUUUAUUUAUUUUUUCACUAGCACUUUAUGAAAAAUUUAUUUUUUAUUUAAUUUCUUGUAAUAAUUAAAUAAAUCAUAUAUGUUUCACCAAGUAUAUCCAUCAAAUUUAAAUCUAGCAACUGUGUUCAAAAAUAGCGAUGUUCGGGAGAAUUAAAGUAUCACCGUUAAAUAAAAAGACAUUUCUGUUUCAAAAUAUUUUGCUUUAUUUUCGCAAAUAGCAUAAAGUAUGUGUAAACCACAUUACUCGUUCAGGAAUUAUGAUUAUCUAUCUACAUCGUCUUCUUCAUCCUUUUCAACACUUUCUUCUACCAUAGGUCUUCUCCUUUGUAUACCUGCUCCAAUGUUCGAUAAACCUUCAUCAAAAUUAAAAUAUAGAUAGCUAUUGAAGGCUUCUACAGGAAUACGUUCUCUAAAAGUAGCACUUGGCCAAACCGCUUCCUCAACUGUCAAGUUUUUAUCGGGAUCCAUUGUGCCUUUGAUUAUUUCUUAAUAUGUAUCGUGAAUUUACUUUGAUGUGUGUCUUGUGUCGCCGAACGCUGAAUUUAUACUGAAUGUCUACUUUGGUGAUGAU